CGCCUACACUUCUCAUCCAUGCAAGAACCCGAUCUCUCUCUUCCUUUCCUCUCUCUUUUUCUACGUUUUCUUUACCUAAACAAAGCUCUCACCAACUUCGAAAUCCUUCCUUGUAGGGCUUGGUGUGACAUACUAUAGUAGUCUCAGUGUGUGGGAUUCAGGUUAAUCAAGAAGAAGAGCCAAGUUUAUCUAGCUAACCAUGCCUAGAAGAUAUGCACUUGGGAGGGCAGAAGAGGCCACCAACCCUGACUCCAUGAGAGCUGCAUUAGCUGAAUUCGUCUCCACUCUUAUCUUCGUCUUCGCUGGUGAAGGCUCCGUCCUUGCUCUUGAUAAAUUGUAUAGGGAAACUGAACCUCCGGCUUCAGGACUGGUGAUGAUUGCGCUUGCACAUGCAUUGGCACUGUUUUCUGCUGUUUCAGCCAGCAUCAACAUAUCAGGUGGUCAUGUGAAUCCUGCUGUUACCUUUGGAGCUCUCGUUGGAGGAAGGAUCUCAGUCCUACGCGCUUUCUAUUACUGGGUUGCUCAGCUUCUUGGCGCUAUUGUCGCUUCUCUCUUGUUGAGGCUCGUCACUAAUGGCAUGAGACCAGUGGGAUUCUAUAUAGCAUCAGGGGUUGGAGAGGUGCAUGGCCUUAUAAUGGAAAUGGUAAUGACAUUUGGACUGGUUUACACCGUGUAUGCUACAGCCGUUGAUCCCAAAAGGGGAAGCUUGG
rnacentral:misc_RNA from 1 species